rnacentral:rRNA from 1 species
CCUACGGGGGGCUGCAGUGGGGAAUAUUGGACAAUGGGGGCAACCCUGAUCCAGCCAUGCCGCGUGUGUGAAGAAGGCCCUCGGGUUGUAAAGCACUUUCAGUGAGGAAGAACGCCUGGUGGUUAAUACCCAUCAGGAAAGACAUCACUCACAAGAAGCACCGGCUAACUCCGUGCCAGCAGCCGCGGUAAUACGGAGGGUGCGAGCGUUAAUCGGAAUUACUGGGCGUAAAGCGCGCGUAGGUGGCUUGAUAAGCCGGUUGUGAAAGCCCCGGGCUCAACCUGGGAACGGCAUCCGGAACUGUCAAGCUAGAGUGCAGGAGAGGAAGGUAGAAUUCCCGGUGUAGCGGUGAAAUGCGUAGAGAUCGGGAGGAAUACCAGUGGCGAAGGCGGCCUUCUGGACUGACACUGACACUGAGGUGCGAAAGCGUGGGUAGCAAACAGGAUUAGAUACCCUUGUAGUC